AGGGUUUGAUUCUGGCUCAGAACGANCGCUGGCGGCAGGCUUAAUACAUGCAAGUCGAGCGGUCUUCUUCGGAAGGCAGCGGCGGACGGGUUAGUAACGCGUGGGAACGUGCCCUUUAGUACGGAAUAGCCAUUGGAAACGAUGAUUAAUACCGUAUACGCCCCAAGGGGGAAAGAUUUAUCGCUAAUGGAUCGGCCCGCGUUAGAUUAGGUAGUUGGUAGGGUAAUGGCCUACCAAGCCGACGAUCUAUAGCUGGUUUGAGAGGAUGAUCAGCAACACUGGGACUGAGACACGGCCCAGACUUCUACGGAAGGCAGCAGUAGGGAAUCUUGGACAAUGGGCGAAAGCCUGAUCCAGCCAUGCCGCGUGAGUGAUGAAGGCCCUAGGGUUGUAAAGCUCUUUCGCCAGGGAAGAUAAUGACGGUACCUGGUAAAGAAACCCCGGCUAACUCCGUGCCAGCAGCCGCGGUAAUAC
rnacentral:rRNA from 1 species